GCAUACCUUGGGACAAUGAAAGAAGCAUGCAGGAACCAUUCAAUCUGGAUGUUCAAUUUUUGUACUGCACGUGAAAACUAAGAUCUGGUUGGGCCGUAUACUAACUGUGGCCCAUCCAAACCAAAAUCCGCACGCAAAACCUAAUCGGACGACACGCGGAGGAUUUCCGUUACGGGACUGGGUUUAAUUGGAUCUCGACCGUAAUGGGCUGGCUAUUGGGCUGAUCACAAUGCGGCCCACCUACCAAACUCGCGCAGUGGUGGGUUUCCAUCGUCGACGCGGCAUUUCGUCGAGCACACGGCGGGCGGCCGGUGGCGCGAGGCGUGGGCGAGUGGAUGGGAGGGACGGCGCCACCGGCGGGCGAGGCGAGGAGCGCGCGGGUGGGGAACGCCGGCGACGGCGCACUCUCCGCCACGCCCCGACCACCGGGCAUUGGGGUUUGGGGAAUGGGAGGAAGCAAGCCGGUGGAUUGGUGCGAUGAGGAACCGGAGCGCCGUCGUGCGCAGCGGCGGAGGACACGGCCGGCGGCGGCCUCCGUGGCAUUGGCACCCCCGCGCCCUAGCUUGCAGGAUUUCGCGUUUUCGUCCUCGGAACACGUUCAAAAGUAUGAUUUCCAAAAACAUUCUUCAUGAAGCGUCGCGGUUGGCACCUCGCCUCCAUUUGUCAUCUUUGCUCUAGGGGGGAAGAGACUUUGCUCACAUCUUUCAAGGUUGUUCUUACACACAAGAAGUGUGCAAGUAUCAGAGGGUGGUUAGGGCUUUGUUGCUCAACGCCGAUGGAGAGUCUUCCCUCUUGGUGGUGUGAUGCUCGCAAAGCAAUCAAGAAGCGGGACAGGAGAGCUUUUGAUGCGGGCAUCAUCUUGGUGACAUGGCUAAUUUGGAAACAGCGCAAUGCUCGUGUCUUUGAGGGGCAUACAGUGUUGCCAGUGAAUCUUUGUGCCGCAAUCGAGGAUGAGUGGAAAUUGUGGCAAGAAGCGGGCUUGACUUCCUCUCUUUGAGUUGUAAAGUGGAGGCGGGGGUUUUCCCUCACCGUUGUUGUAUACAUAAGGAUUGUUUUAUUUUGUAGUCUGUGGUUGCACGUCGUUUUCUUGGGUGUGCUAGGUGAUCUGUAAAUUCUUUCCCCCCUCUUAAUAUACUCCGAUCGGUUGUUUUCCGACCCGGCGAAUAUUACUUAAAUAAUGUUUUCCAAUCUAUUUUGUUAUCAUUGUAUUAUAUAAUUUAAU